GAGGAAAGUCCGGGCAACAUAGAGCAUCCUACUUCCUAACAGAAAGCUGUCCGUGAGGGUAGAGUAACGUAGAAGAAAAUAACCGCCGCUCCUUUCGGGGAGAGGUAAGGGUGAGAAGGUGGGGUAAGAGCCCACCAGCCGCAUGGUGACAUGUCGGGCUGUACGUCUUAGGAGUUGUAAGGUCAUGUAAACCGGCGUUAUGAGAGUUGCUCGCUCCAUGUCGGAGGGUAGACCGCUAAAGUGUCGUGGUGACACGCCACUCAGAUAAAUGACAGGCACCUUGUUUUAUAUAAGGUACAGAACUCGGCUUA
rnacentral:RNase_P_RNA from 2 species